UUCCCUGUGCGCUUCAGAAUUCAAAAGCAGAGACAACACUGAGAAUUUUGAGGGAGUUUGGAGUAACUCCUCAACCACAUUAAAUUCACUUCUUUUGAUCAAUCGGAGCACCUCAUCAUCAUUAUUGGCUUUCAAAUUGCUGGAUUCACCAGACUUAUCCUUUGAACAACCAACUAGUUCUACAUUAGGUACCUCCAUUCUCUUACCAACAAUCGUUUCCUCUCGGACCACCAGCCCAAACACUCGAC
rnacentral:lncRNA from 1 species